ACUUUUGGAUCGUCCUAGAUAUACGAGCCCCAAAUACUUAAUGAACUCCUGUACACAACUAUCGAUAGAGACCUACAAUCUACACCCACGGGCAAUGAAAAGGUUCCACUGAGAAUUACUCCUAAACUGAAAAAGCUAGCUAAAUGACACCUUCUGCAACAUUGGAGAACAUUUAACAGAGCAUCGGGAUAUUACCAACUUAAAACCGUAAUAUGUUCUUAAUUUUUUCUAUUAAAUGUUUGAAAAAAUUAGGUUCAUUUGGUGUCUGCUUUUUGUUAGUGGCACUUUUUCAUUGCCCGUGAGUGUACUAGUGGUGUGCUAUUUAUUUACUAGACUACUACCAUGUCUACCAUACGUAGUUUACGACGCUGGAGACUAAACGAAGUGACGAUGUCACAAAUAUCGCACUGAACAUAAACCUUCCCAUUCGUUGCGGAUGUCAGUUUAUUUAUAUUUUACUGCCUGAAGGCUCAAAUUGAGGAAACCAUACUGUAGUAGGUAUUUGUAUUCGGUGAUGUUAUUGUGUUCUACAUAUUAUAAUUACUUACGCUAUUCUUUAUAAAAAAACAUCCAAAGACCAAAAUCAAUUUAGGUUUAGAGACCUCCUUCUUACAGAAUAUUAUACUUACGCUAUUCUUUAUAAAAAAACAUCCAAAGACCAAAAUCAAUUUAGGUUAAGAGACCUCCUUCUUACAGAAUAUUACUGAAAAACGUAUAAUUACACACAUACAGCUGUAAUGCCCGAAGGGGUAGUCAGAGGUGAGUCGUAAGCCAAUCACCCACUUUUCGCUGUAGGUACAUUUGUACUCCCGUGGUAGGUCGCGAGCCGUAUCGCCGCUUUUCGAAACUAUUAUUAACUGGAAUAACGUUUAUUAACGCUCGUUUUAUUCCUAUCUGAUUUUUAAUACGUUCGCGAAGCGGCGCGGAAUUAUUCAAACUCUUAAAAAAAUAUAGAAGUAUUUUUUAUAUGGAAUAAAGUUCACAUUCGCAGAUUGACGAUCACGAUGUCGGUCGUAAAGUAGAACCCGAGGGAUGAUUCGAUAGAGGCGGCCGCUUCCACGCUUUAAUAGUGCUCUUCGCAUUUUUACAACCAGGCGGGGCCGGUUCCGGUAUUUUCGAAGCGUACUGCUGUACUGUGUAGAGUAGAUUACGUUAGCGGAAUUCGUCCAUGACUUCGCUGCAAACUUAGAUUAACAAUACACGAUAUACAAUGAUAUUUAAAGAUCGUUAUUAUCUUAAAGUGUUUCACGGAGGGAGUCCCUUUGUGGGGUAGACAGAGAUUCAUUAUUAUUAGGUAAUUUUAUAUCAGACUAGUGGGAGUUUUAAAAUCGUUUAAUAACAGCAACAAAAAUUAUUAUGUGUGACAUUGCACCUCUGCCGUCCUCACUAGGGUAUAUAUUGUAUACUACAAGACGUGGAUGUAUAGGAAUAUGUUAAUGUAUGAGAAUAUCUAGUAAAGCUUAUACGUAUCACUCUCUCCACGUCAAAGGAUAACUGGAAGAAAAUGGUAUUAACAUUAAGUUUGCCUAUGUACACGUUAGUUUGAUGAGCAAUACAGAUUUUAUUAAUAAAGCUUUAUUUAUUAUAAUUCCAGGAAUGCCUAGCUGGCUAGCGCGCUAAUGCUACCUACCUGGCAGAAGAUCCAUUCUUCAUGAAAAUCUUACAAUGAAACUCAAUACAAAGCGGACGGAGCAGACAAGACGCACCGAACGGAAAAGGAGGGAACGUGUCUUGCUUUUAGGAAGCAUUACGUGCGGAUCGGAGCUUGAAAAAAUAAUCAGAAACUUUUUUACAGGACUGUUUUUAGUUAAUUAGCGUUCAGACUUAAUCAAUAGUAAUUUGUUUAUUUAAGUACUUACUUACAUCAUCAAUAAAUUAUUUUCAAAAUCUAUUUAAAACUUUAAUUGGGCACAAAAUGGUAUUUAAAGUUAUUCAUUAAUUUAUAAGCACUUAAUGCACAUAUUAUAUUAUAAUCAAUUGAUAUCAGUGAAAAAAUCAAAUUAGAUUUUUUGCGAAUCGAUAUCGAACCGAGAGUACUAUAUUGAAUCUAUGUAAUCGA